AGGCAGCAGUGACAGGUACCUGCCUGGCGCCCCAAGUUUUGCGCACGUGCCUACCCCUAGUUCCUAGCCCAACGAGUCCAAAUUGGAAAGAUGGGACACCGUCAUAGAGGGACAGUUGUUCUUUGCUCAUGCUGUCUCCCGCCGCUGGGGCAAUAGAGAACGCAGGCUGGGAGUAAACGGCAAGUGAUCCAGACAGAUCCUGCAGUGGGCGGGGCAUGUGACGAGGGCGGCACACUGCUGCCAAGCAACGAAAAGCUCUAACAUGAAGUUUGCUUUCUCCAGUGUUGAGUUCUAGAGUAACAACUUGCAGCGAUUUCUUGCCCUCAUACCCUGAGAACCAUAAUUUGUGUAAGACACAGGUUCUUAUCAUCACUUGUACAGUUCCCACACAGAGACAGCUUCCCAUAAUAGGCCAGCAAAACAAUAGCACGCCGCAGCUCCACCAAUGAGCGUGUCCCUGGGCGGAGCUUAACUUGUAUCACAGCGGCUCCAUGGUCACAUGACCCAGAUAACUGCCGUUUUUCUGUCAGUUGGGGGAGACGAUCAGCCGAUGAACAGGUGAUUUCCUCUGCGCUUUUGGACCUGACCUGAGUCACCUGACACGUCAGAAAUUGGAAAAAGGAGAUGAAAGAGAGAAGAUGACAAAGGAGAGAUUAUCCGUAGAGAAGGGAGACGUAUGACAGCAGCUCAACCAUCUGAAACCACAGUGGGGAACAUGGUACGCCGGGUGCUGAAACUGAUCCGUGAGGAGUACAGCAGUUUCCCAAUGAAGAAGAUUCCUUUCACAAGUUUGUAUCGCCACAGGAAGUUCUUCCAUUUUCAGAAGGUGAGAUCCUCUCUCAGGUCAGUGCUUAUUGCCUGAUUUUUGACCACGUACCUCCAGAACUGAUCACAUUAUUCAUCUCAAACAUUGGAGGAAAUGCACCAUCAUAAAUCUAUCGACUAAUGAGCGAGCUGUACCACCCAUCAGACCAUGAACUGUGACAAGAGCCUCUCAAAGGGACUUUAUUCUGCUUCCAGUGUCAUUAGUAUGACGUCUCUCAGCACAGUGAAUCUUACCCCACAUGCUUUUGUUAUUUACCAUUAUUAAUAAAUGCUUCAGACUGAAAGAA